CAAUAGCGUAUAUUAAAGUUGUUGCAGUUAAAAAGCUCGUAGUUGGAUUUGUGGCUGUCGCGUGCGGCCCGGCAUUCGUGCCGUGGCUUGCUAGCGUCGCCAUCCUUGGGUGGAACCUGUGUGGCAUUAGGUUGUCGUGCAGAGGAUGCCCAUCGUUUACUGUGAAAAAAUUAGAGUGUUCAAAGCAGGCUUAUGCCGUUGAAUAUAUUAGCAUGGAAUAAUAAGAUAGGACCUCGGUACUAUUUUGUUGGUUUGCGCACCGAGGUAAUGAUUAAUAGGGACGGUUGGGGGUAUUCGUAUUCCAUUGUCAGAGGUGAAAUUCUUGGAUUUUUGGAAGACGAACUACUGCGAAAGCAUUUACCAAGGAUGUUUUCAUUAA
rnacentral:rRNA from 1 species